GCCAGACCCUUGGCCCUCUGGAGGAAGGCUUCGUCCCAGUCUGGAAGCAGUAGAGCCUGCAGAGGUUGGCCCUAGGCUGCCAUGAGCGAAGGAAGAAGGGUUGAAAAGAGCCAGUUCUUGUUGCCUGUGGACUGGAAAGACCCCAGCCAGGGCAGACCUCUCCCUCCAGUCUCCGCCCAGUGUCUCCUGGGAAGCCGUACUAGCAGAUCGCACCACUUGAGCGUUGGGAAGGCUGUCUGCGGAACUGUGCCGGGAACAUCAUUUGGUGGGAACCUUACCAUUGCAAACAAAAAAUGACCGCCUGCAUUUGGACCAAUGCCUUGCACUUCUCUGUGAAAACUCCAUUCUUCUGUCCCCUCCUUCUGAGUCCACUGAGCUAGCCCAACUAGUUAGCCCUACAACGAUGGUUAGGUCACUUCUGUUCUCUAAGCCACACAGGGAUGAAGUGACCCUGCUGACUCGUUUCAUGUUCAGUUCCCGGGCCCCACCUCCAGACAGUGAUCCAGUUAGAAACCCAAUGCUGGGAAUCCGCAUUUUAGCCUUUUUGCCUGCAACGCCCUCGAGCACACUGCACCUGCAUUUCUGAGCCAUCAAGCACGGAGAGCUACGUUAGGAUCAAUUAGGACAGUUGCUCUGGGGUCCGCCUGAACCUCCUAUCAUCUAGAACAGUCAAUCACACAGAGGAUUAGACAAGAUGAAGCCACAAGCUGAGCCCAGCGCCUGACACUCAACCCGCAGCGACUCUACUAUCCCGCUCCCUGUCCCAUCUGCUUGCUGUCCUCCAGCCAAAUCUCAGGUCUGGGGAAAUGAUGCACCUUAGCAGUGUGCAGAGUCAUCAGACGAGCAGGCAGGCAACAGGGGAAGCAGCUCUAACAGCUGGGCUCCACACCAGAGCUCCAGCUCUCCCUAAGCUGUUACCAUGGUGAGCAAAGCCACGACAACUCGUGUGUGUGUGUGUGUGUGUGUGUGUGUGUGUGUGUGUGUGUGUGUG
rnacentral:lncRNA from 1 species